rnacentral:rRNA from 1 species
UCGGGAAUUUUGGGCAAUGGGCGAAAGCCUGACCCAGCAACGCCGCGUGAAGGAUGAAGUAUUUCGGUAUGUAAACUUCGAAAGAAUAGGAAGAAUAAAUGACGGUACUAUUUAUAAGGUCCGGCUAACUACGUGCCAGCAGCCGCGGUAAUACGGGGGGUGCAAGCGUUAAUCGGAAUUAUUGGGCGUAAAGGGUGCGUAGGUUGUUUGAUAAGAUAUAUGUGAAAUACCUGGGCUCAACCUGGGAAGGUCAUAUAAGACUGUCAGACUCGAGUAUGGGAGAGGGUAGAGGAAUUUCCGGUGUAGCGGUGAAAUGCGUAGAUAUCGGAAGGAACAUCGGUGGCGAAGGCGUCUACCUGGCCUAAUACUGACACUGAGGCACGAAAGCGUGGGGAGCAAACAGGAUUAGAUACCCCGGUAGUCCCUGAGCGGGCUGGCAAGGCGCAU